AUUCUACUCCCUCCGUUGCACAAUACUACAUGCCUUCUAUUUGUCAAAAUAUAUAUGUAUCUAGACAUGUCUUAGUAUAUAGGUACAUCCAUUUUUGGACAAAUGGAAGUCAAGUAUUUUGGAAUGGAGGGAGUACACA
rfam:Triticum aestivum genome assembly, contig: Triticum_aestivum_CS42_TGACv1_scaffold_307929_4AS